UCUUGCCUUUUGCUGGUAAGGAUUGAUUCAUUGAGCGCCUGACAAUUGGAAUUUGUGGAUUCUCCUCUCUUUCCUCACACCUAAGGCUUGACAUCCUUCAUGCUUGAACUCCGAAUUAGCAGUAAAAUUUUUAUGGUUCAGUCACUUCCAACAAUCUUUUCACCUAACACUUGAAGCGUAACAGAGAGUUGAAGUCAAAAGAGGGGUUCCGGGGAUUCUUACAGGGCGUUGUUCUGCUUUGUGACGUGUGAUAAUGGAGAUUGGGCUUGCCGAAUUGUUGAUAGUGGCAUGGAUCGCUGGGACCUUGCCUAUACUCAUCGCCUCCAUACCCUUUUCGCAGCUUAAUUAUUUCCAUCAAUUUUUGUUAGGGUUUGCCAAAAGAGGCAAGACAAUGCAAUCAUCUGCACAUAAAUUCACUUUACCCCAGAAAUUCUUCUGCCACUUCUAUGCUUUGGCUGUGGUGUGGACAACAUUCUUGCUUGCAGUCACUUGGUUUUAUGCGUAUAAAAUGGCCCCACUAAUCUCCAAGCCAUUGCAAUAUUCUACUCUGACAAGCUACUUGGCUGGGAGUUCACAUAUAUUAUUCUUUCAUGAAUCUAGUCCGCCUGCAGUGAAGCAGAGAUACAGGGUGUGGAGCUCUGUGUUUCUUCUUUCGUUAAUGGAAUUUCAAGUGUUGAGACGCCUUACUGAGUCGAUAUAUGUGUUUAAGUACAACCCUUCAGCUCAGAUGCAUAUUUUUGGCUACAUUACUGGGCUAUUUUUCUAUAUAGCUGCGCCACUUUCCCUUUGCUGUGCAUUUUUACCAGAGGCCUUUGUACUUGCCAUGAAUCAGAUGGCUGACUUUCUUAUUAAAGGGAAGACUCAGAUUCCAGUCACAGAAUUUGAUUGGUGGGGAUUUGUGAACCCUCUCCUGAAACUUAAAUGGUACUCAUGGAGUGGGAUGGCUAUAUUUUUUUGGGGUUGGAUACAUCAAUGGAAUUGUCAUGCAAUUCUUGGCUCAUUGAGGGAUGACCCAGAACAAGUGGAUGCUUAUGUAAUUCCUCAUGGUGAUUGGUUUGACUAUGUUUCAUCUCCACACUACCUGGCUGAGAUUGUUAUUUAUGCUGGUCUUGUAGUUGCCAAUGGUGGUUCAGACUUGACAAUCUGGCUACUCUUUCUCUUUGUGGUGGCAAAUCUUGUUUUUGCAGCAGCAGAGACACAGAGGUGGUAUCUACAUAAAUUUGACAAUUACCCUCGAGACCGAUCAUGUUGCGAGUGUUUGAGGUAUGGGAGCUGCAUAUGGGACGGUGAACAGCGGCAUUGGGGUGGCGUCGAUGGGCGUGAUGAGGCCAGAGCUUGUGAUGAAGUCGAUUGUUCCAAUGGUUAUGGCUGGUGUUUUGGGUAUUUAUGGCUUGAUUAUUGCUGUUAUCAUCAGUACCGGGAUUAACCCUAAAGCCAAUUUGUAUUACCUAUUUGAUGGCUAUGCGCAUCUUUCCUCUGGUCUCACCUGUGGCCUCGCUGGGCUUUCUGCUGGAAUGGCAAUUGGGAUGUUGGCAAUGCCGGUGUUAGGACAAUAGGAGCACCAGAGGCUAUGGAUAGUGGACGUGUUCAUCAUGCUAGGAAAAUGUGUCCAAGUUAACAUAUGUGGUUCAGUGGGAAAUUUGAAAAAUUAUAUAUUGGGCAGAUUAUUGUGCAUUUUUUAGUUUCUGCAUCCUAUGAUUUGUCAUGCUUAGUUGAUUUUGAGUAUUGAUGGCCUGUGUUUGCAUAUGCAAUACAAAUAAUUUCAUGGUAGCUUAAUGGGAUUCUUAUAUUAUAUGGGGAUAUGCUAUAAAGUCAAAGAAGUUGUUCCAUAUUGUAUUUGAGAUGGUUUCACCAAUUUACAGCAAAUUUCCAAAAGAAUAUCAAAGAUUGUCCGAAAAAGGAUAUAUGUUGGCUAGAUUUAACAUUAUUCUGCAACAAUUCUUUACAUCAUGAGAUGUUGCAUGAACCAUGAAAUGGUGUCUUGGUCUAUUGUUAAUAAAGCAUUGUUGUUUGUGCAAUUUUGUUCCAUACUUGAAAUGGUUGAGGAAGUAGAGUUUGUGGUUCUACAGUGGUGCUCACUUAAUAGAGAUUAUAUGAACUAUUUAGAUAGAUUCUGUGGCAAGAAGCUUUGCAUGGGUGGUGUUUAGACCAUUCCACAGAGAAAUUCCUAAACUUAGGGGGGAAAGUGAAGAAAUUUAUAUGUUGUUCUUCAUUGGAAAUACUUGGAAACAUAAUUGCUUUACAAGCCAUUAGUCAAUCUUCUUUCAAUAAUAUAUUGACCAGGUUUGUGGCUUAGUCAAACUUGAUCACUAUGUGGAUGCAUAUAAAGUUCUUCAAUAUAAUGGGAGGGGCUACUUUGUUAAUUUAUAGACCCAUUUGUGUUGGUAUUUGUGGCUUGUAUAACAACAUUAAUACAAGCCUUAAUUCCAUUAAGUGGGACUACAUGAAUUUGAGCUCUCCAAUCAUUUUUAUCUAUGACCAUAUGUUUUGUAAGGCCAGUAGAUCCCAUGUCAUCUCUAAAUUUGUGGUCUCUAUACACUAAUAAAAGUCAAUAUAUGUGGAACCCUAGUCAGACAUUAUAGCAAAUAUGUAAGCUACACAAAAGACUAGUUGGACAGUGAUAAUAGAAGGCUAGGGGCUAGUCAGGCUGUUGGCUGCCUGUCCAAGGAUGGCAUUCACUUUUUUUCUUAUUUCUCUCUCUCUCUCUUGCCUAAACACACACACCAAAAAAGAAAAAGGUUUAGGGAAAAUUGUGUUCUCUCUCUCUCUCUCUCUCACACACACACAUGUAAUGGGUAAGCUAACCUUUAUCUUUAACAUUAUUUCUAUUUACUUGCCCAAACACACACACACAAACACAAAAAAGGUUUGGGGAAAAUUGCGUUGUGUCUUUUAGGAGGUGGGUGUCUCCUUGGAAUACAUUAAAUUUUCUUGAUGUCAUUUUGGUGUGAUCUGGUGGUUCUUAUUUCCACAUUUUUUUGGAUUGUAGAACUUGAUAAUGUGUCAAAGAAACUAGACUGCUUAAAAAUUAGUUUGUAGAACCUGUAUUCACAAGCCAAUAUGAGCUUGAUUUCCUUCAUCAUCAGAAUGUAUAAACUUUGAAGCCUCGUUCAGUUUUAGAAAACUUCUUUUAGUUUUCAACUCCAAAUUUACAACUAAACAUAUCCUAACAUUUUAUGCUUUAAAAAGUCAUCCAUUCAUUUACAGAAAGUUUUGAAAAUGUCUUUUCUUAUGUUUUCCAAUUUAUAGUAUAAAGUUAAAAAAUUAGAAAAUUGAGUUUUCUAUUGUCUAAUUAGAGAUUCAAUCAUUCAAUAGAAAAUUAGAGUUAGAAAACAGAAAAAAUUUUCUACAACUGAACAGGCCCUGAGCUUCUUCAUAUUAUAAGAGCUUGAUAUGGCUGGUAUUGGAGGAGCUCUUGCCAUGACCCAAAGUAGCAUUACUUCGUGGUUGAUAUGUUUACAACACUUCUGAGACAAUGUUUAUUGUACGAGCAGACAACUUCAAUCCCUGCAGCAUUAGCUGCAGUUGUUGCUAUGCAAAAACUCACUUUUCUAAUAUUGUUUUAUCUUAAGAGUAGAACAGAAAAGUGCCACUUUUAUUUGAUUAAUUUUCGUGCUGGAUUAUGUUGAGACCCCAACCUUUUGCUUGCUACCAAAUGUAGUACUUUUCUUUUAUGGUGGCAAGGAUUAAGCCAAUAUAAGUGAAUAGAUAGAAAAAGGCCCUUGUGCAUGAAGCAAUCUAAUCCAAUGGAUACUGUCAGGACCUCAUGUCCUGACAGCGGAAUUUCUCCUUGCGAGAGAAGAUUUAGGGUUGAAGAAAGGUAGGAAGGAGGAAAGAAGGUUAGGGAGAACAGAGGAUUCGGGGGGGAAGAGAAGUUGAAAGAGAGAGAGAGAGAGUGUGUGUGUGUGUCUGAUUCUAUUAUGGAAUUCAUUCGUGUUUUCACAUUCAAUUGGGAGGCUUUUAUAGUUCCUCCUUAGCGCUAAUCUUGGGCUGUUACAAUUCUAACAGAAGCUAACAACUAACAGCUAUUUUAACCGCCUACCAACAGCCUCUAACCACUAACUGCUACCAGUCCUACACAUCGAAAGACCAAAUUACCCUUGAUUUAUCAUAGGGUCCUGACAAUUACCCCCAGUUGAGAACUUUCUUGUCCUCAAGAAAGGGAAAGAAGCUUGGCCGCCUGCGGAAACUGCUGUAGUAGAUCAGGGAGAUAUUCCCACAUGUUGUCGGGAUGGAGAAGGGUCCAUUGAACCAGCACCUGCGUAAGAGGAGCCCCUUGCUUAUAGAUCACCCGCUUAUCCAAUAUCAAGGCCAGUUCAGCUGGAGGAGGAGCUUCUGAAAUAAGAUCCGACAGAGUACCAGCUGCGCGCCCACCGACUUUUUGAGCAAAGAGACGUGGAACACUGGGUGGAUGUGGGACGAGGCCAGGAGCUGCAGCUUAUAAACAACAAUCCCAAACUUUGCCAUGAUGGGAAAAGGCCCAAAAACUUAGGGCUGAGCUUGGAUACUUGACUGUGAGUAAGAGCUUGUUGAUAGGAGUGUCUUAGCUUCAAGUAAACCAUAUCCCCUAUUGAAAACUCCCGUUCACUACGCCUGCGGUCAGCAAAUUGCUUCAUCUUAUGCUGGGCUGUAGCCAACUCCCUUUGCAGCACCUGCAACACUUCCUGUUGCUGCUGUAAGUAAUCAUCAACAGAAGCCAUCGAGGAAGACGGUAGUGUGGCUGGAAGGUGGGGAGGCUUAUAGCCAUAUAGGGCCUGAAAAGGAGACAUCCGAAUAGAACUAUGGUAGCACAAAUUGUACCACCAUUGUCCAAGGGAAAGCCACUUGUGCUAGGCCUCGGGCUGAGCAACACAAAGACAAUGCAAAUAGGCCUCCAGACACUGGUUAACCGGCUCCAUCUGGCCGUCUGUUUCUAGAUGGUAAGCUGUGGACAUGUGCAAACGAACUCCCAAUGACUUGAAUAGGUCCUGCCACGUAAGGCUAGUGAAAACUUUAUCCUCUCCGAUGCUAUGGUUCGCGGCACACCAUGCAAGCUGAUUACCUGGUCCAAAAAACUGUUGCCACUUCCUGUGCCGUGAACGGAUGAGAAAGACCUAUAAAGUGAGCAAAUUUAGUGAACUGAUCGACCACCACCACCAAUACACAAUCUAUACCCUUCGAUUUUGGCAACCCCUCUACAAAAUCCAUGGAAAGACAAACCCAGGCUUGAUCCGGUUUUUCUAAAGGCUGCAACAACCCUAGUGUCGCCACAGACUUGUGUUUACAAUGCUGGCACACAUCACACGACAUUACAUACUCUUGUACACUCCUUGUAAGAUCGGGCCAGUAGAAUAGCUGUUUGACUUUGUGGUAUGUAUUCCUUAUACCUGAAUGGCCCCCUACCGGUGACCCAUGUAAGGCUUGCAAAAUUUUGGAUUUAAGUUGUCUGCAAUCCCCAAAAACCAAUCUGCCACAAAAUCUAAUUAGCCUGUUAGACAUAGAAUACCUCGGUUUACUAGCAAGGUCGAUGUAGCUGUUCUUGCAACUUCUUAGUCCAUUCCGCCAAGGAAUAACUUGCUGUUACCACCUGCAUCUAGUCCGACACUACUAUUGUAAUGGCUGCAAUGAUUCCUUCCUCCAAACAUUGGGGCAACACAUUUGAUGUUGCAUUGUCUUUCCCCCUUCUACAGGGGAGGAUCUACUAGUGAGCUACCUUGGGCUGAAGCCCAGCACAACCCACUACCAGAUCCAAUUUUUUAGUGUAAAAAAAAAAAUAUAAUAAUAAUAACAACCCAGUUCAAAAAAAAUUACGACCCACCCCAAAAUCUAUGAUGUGCAGCUCUCCACUCCUGGGCAUAACCCAUUUAUAAGUAAAAAUUGUAAGUUCAAGACCAAACCCACCUAAAUCCUAUAAUUAAUUUCAAACAAGCCCAAAUAAUAGCUUCCUCCCUUAGAAUCGUUGCCCUUUUCUUUCUAUAGGAGGACGACCAAGUUCCCACCAUUGUCCCCUUGAUUGGAGUCCCUGGCGACAUCUUUGGAACCCAAUUGCCCAAACCUAUUCAGAAUCUGUACAAAUAUAGAGGAAGAGAAAGAGGCAGAGUAGUAGGUAAGUUUCAGAGUAAUACAAGGAGAUUAUGAAUUUAAUGUUUUUGGAGUUGGAAGAUAUGGAUGAGUUCAAGGGUUGAUCCAGGAAUCUAUGUUGGGAGAGGCUGAAAUUUCAAAAAGCUAAUGUAAUAAAAUUCUUAUGUAACCAAAAAGUUAAUACAAUAAAAUUUCACUAAACUUGUGCUCGAUGAGAUUUUGAAACAAAAAAUUCAUCUACAAUGGAAACUAAAUCUAUUGUGAGAGCAAGUUCUCUUUCGAUGCAGAGUGUCAUACAAUCAACAAGGAAUUCACCCUCCAUUUUGUUACGAAGUGUCUUCAAAAGUUUCAUUGCUGAAAAUGCCCACUCAGUAGUUGCAGUAGAAACAUGUAAUGUCAAUACAAGAUGAAUCAAUCUAGUUAUCAUAAUGUAUGUAUCUGACCUUCUACCCUCGAUCAACUCCUUGGCACAAUUCAACAAGUGUAGAUAUUUGAACCGUUGUUCAGGAAUCACAUCAUGAACAUAAUACCGCAACUCAUAUUCCAAAGCACGAAUAUCUUAACUGCUAAAAUCUUCAUGAUAUAACUUCUUUGCAAGCGUACAAAUAUCAUCAUUAUUGAAUGAUUCGAAUGAAUUUUUGGGAUCCAAAGCCACAUUGAGAGAAAAGAGUUCUACUGAUUUAUCAUUAAAUCGCGUACUUAACUCCAUCAGUAUAAAAUCUAUUGCUUCAUUGAAAACAUCGAAGUGAUAAUGGUACUCAACUGUAGUCUCAUCACUACAACAACCAAUUAGAUACGGAGAAUCUAGGUCCGAUAUGUGAAUGUUGUGUGUUGAACAAAACCUUUUUACUUCCUAAAAAGGCUCUUCCCAACCUUUUACUCUCAAUUCUUGAAGGAUAAGUUUCACAACAGAAACAUAUCUCAUAGUAGCCAAAUUGUUUAGGGAUUUUUUUCUGAAGGGCUUAACAAAGAACAUAAGUUAUUCUCAUAAUUCUAUGCAUUAAAAACAAGUUGUGCACAAAUUCAAAACAUGCAAAGUGUUUGUAAGUGCCACAAACUUCAGCUCGAGAAUGUGCUUUUGGACAAUGGACUUUUAAGAUAUUCAAGCACCUUGCAAGUUGCAGGUUGUAGGGUACAUGUCUAUCAUUCUUUUUACAGAAUCAUAAUGAGAACUCCAACGUGUUACUCCAGUGCGAUGCAAAUUACCUAUUUGAUUGAUUCAACUUUCAGACUCACACUCUCUAAUACUUAACAUAUGCUCAACUUCUUUUCUUUAGCACUUUGCAAUUCACUAAUGCGUUGAGAAGAAGAAUUAAUAAUAUUGAUAAUAUUGUUCAAAUGGGAAAAGAAUUCCCAAAUAACGUGACAUCCUUAGCUGUAGAAACCAAUGCCAGUUGUAACCAGUGAGCAAAGUAGUGAACAUAGUAUGCAUGUGGAUAAUCUCUAAGAAAUAAUGCUUGAAGUCCAUUCCAAGUACCGUGUAUAUUAUUAGCACCAUCAUAUCCUUGACCUCUCAUUUUGCUAACCUAAAGGUUGUGUUGAACAAGAACAUCGGAUAUCUCAUUUUUUAGGUUCAAUGACGUGGUGUUACUAAUGCUUUUGAUUGCAAAAAAACAUUCUAUCAAAAUACCAUGAUUGUUCACAAACUUCAAAAUAAUGGCCAAUUGCUCUCAGUUAGAUUCAUCUUUUGCUUCAUCUACAAGAAUACAUAAGUGUUCAUCUCUAACAUCUUCACGAACCAUUUGUCAUACUCUGUUGGCCAUAAUGUGAAAAAUAUCAUUUGAAAUAUUUGGAGCAAUGGAUUGAGCAUUUUUUGGAGCAUUACCUAGUACAACUUUAUCAACUUUUAUACUCAAUUGUGCAAAAGCCUUUAGCAUUUGAAUAAAAUUGCCACGGUUCAAUGAAGAUGAAGAUUCAUCGUGACCUCUGAAGGCACAACCUUGAAGUGCUAGCAACCAGAUAGCUAUAAUUGAAGUCUUUAGGGGAAAAUGAUUUUUUUGAGAUUCCUCUUUUGUUUGUGCAUGAAUUACCCUAUCAAUAUGUUGAGAGAGAUUUAUUAAAUCUUCAACCAUUCUCACACAAUUCAAGUGGGGUGACGAAGG